UGGAGUUCAUGCUUUAUUUGAAUAGUUUUAGUAGGAAAUUGCAUGGGCUUUUCGGUGAAUCCUAUUUCAUGGCUCUUUGAAAGCUCACAGCUUUUCUCUCCCAACUACCAAGUUAUAUCAAUACAGACCAAAUUGAGGUGUAAAAGUUCUGACGGGCAGGUAACUUUUAUUUUUGGACCUUGGUGCUGAUGUAUUGCGAUUCAAUGUUCCUAACAUUGCUCACCAUAUGUCUCAUCACUUCUAGAGGAGCCAUGUCUGCGUUUUGGCACAGGUACAGCAGAUUUAAGGGGUUGAUUAACACUACCUGCUAUAGUUGACUAGUGCCAGUCCACAAACCUGAGGACACCACUGCUAAAUGUAAUUGAGUUGAAGUACCCAAUUUGCCUGGAACAGUCAUUCCUAUUCAUGAAUUCAACCCAAUGUAUACAAAAUCUUGAUCAAAUGCCUAAUGAGCAAAGCAUGUAAAGGAGGAUCAUCCUGCUCUUCAUUUCAGUAAUCAUAGAGAUCUAUAAACCUGUCUGGAUUGAAUUGAGGCAACAUCACAUGCAAUCUUCACUGACAAAUGGGUUCAACAUCUAUUGUACUACCAGUAAUAUUAAUUGUACAUUAAUAUCAUUUCACAAAACAAAUUCAGUGGCUGAGUAACACUAUCACAUCAAUAUAAACAGGUUGUACGUUCUUAACUUAAUGAAACCAAAAGACCCAGUCCCCCAGAAUACUGCUAUUACACAAGUAUGCAUAAUAUAUGUCCAGAGAUUGGACAAAUCCUGACCAAUCCAUUGGUUUGUUCAUCUUUCUUACAGUCCAGUCCUGUAUGCUUGUCACUAAAAUGCAUACAAUUCUACCUUGAAGCUAUCAAGGGAUUUUAUUCUGGAUAAAUAAAGGUCGAAGAAACAGCAGUCACUUCCUUCUCAGACAAAGAUAAUUAUACAUAUUCAAGACUGCAUAUAAAUGAAAGUCACAAAAUAACCAUGUAUUAUACAGUUACGUACUCAAUGUACUAUGAUUGUCAAACAGUACAAAGAGGUCAAUUUCAUGAUCGCUGUCACGAGCAUAUAGAAAAAUACUAAACAAUCCCUUUCAGUUCAUCAGUUCAGGAAGGUCAGGAAAAAUGUCUUAAAAAAUAAAAAAAGCCAUUCCAUCCCUUGACUUGUGACGAUCCUCUUCAUUGUUUCUUUCCCCCC
ensembl:lncRNA